AACAGGAUUAGAUACCCUGGUAGUCCACGCUGUAAACGAUGUCGAUUUGGAGGUUGUGCCCUUGAGGCGUGGCUUCCGGAGCUAACGCGUUAAAUCGACCGCCUGGGGAGUACGGCCGCAAGGUUAAAACUCAAAUGAAUUGACGGGGGCCCGCACAAGCGGUGGAGCAUGUGGUUUAAUUCGAUGCAACGCGAAGAACCUUACCUACUCUUGACAUCCAGAGAACUUUCCAGAGAUGGAUUGGUGCCUUCGGGAACUCUGAGACAGGUGCUGCAUGGCUGUCGUCAGCUCGUGUUGUGAAAUGUUGGGUUAAGUCCCGCAACGAGCGCAACCCUUAUCCUUUGUUGCCAGCGGUUCGGCCGGGAACUCAAAGGAGACUGCCAGUGAUAAACUGGAGGAAGGUGGGGAUGACGUCAAGUCAUCAUGGCCCUUACGAGUAGGGCUACACACGUGCUACAAUGGCGUAUACAAAGAGAAGCGACCUCGCGAGAGCAAGCGGACCUCAUAAAGUACGUCGUAGUCCGGAUUGGAGUCUGCAACUCGACUCCAUGAAGUCGGAAUCGCUAGUAAUCGUAGAUCAGAAUGCUACGGUGAAUACGUUCCCGGGCCUUGUACACACCGCCCGUCACACCAUGGGAGUGGGUUGCAAAAGAAGUAGGUAGCUUAACCUUCGGGAGGGCGCUUACCACUUUGUGAUUCAUGACUGGGGUGAAGUCGCAACAAGGUAACCGUAGGGGAACCUGCGGCUGGAUCACCUCCUU
rnacentral:rRNA from 1 species